AGAGUUUGAUCAUGGCUCAGAUUGAACGCUGGCGGCAGGCUUAACACAUGCAAGUCGAGCGGAAACGAUUCUAGCUUGCUAGAAGGCGUCGAGCGGCGGACGGGUGAGUAAUGCUCAGGAAUCUACCGAGUAGUGGGGGAUAGCCAUUGGAAACGAUGAUUAAUACCGCAUAUAUCCUACGGGGGAAAGCAGGGGACCUUCGGGCCUUGCGCUAUUCGAUGAGCCUGAGUGAGAUUAGCUAGUUGGUAGGGUAAAGGCCUACCAAGGCGACGAUCUCUAGCUGGUCUGAGAGGAUGAUCAGCCACACUGGGACUGAGACACGGCCCAGACUCCUACGGGAGGCAGCAGUGGGGAAUAUUGCACAAUGGGCGAAAGCCUGAUGCAGCCAUGCCGCGUGUGUGAAGAAGGCCUUCGGGUUGUAAAGCACUUUCAGCGAGGAGGAAAGGUCAGUAGCUAAUAAUUGCUGGCUGUGACGUUACUCGCAGAAGAAGCACCGGCUAAUUUAGUGCCAGCAGCCGCGGUAAUACUAAAGGUGCAAGCGUUAAUCGGAAUUACUGGGCGUAAAGCGCGCGUAGGUGGUUUGUCAAGUUGGAUGUGAAAGCCCAGGGCUCAACCUUGGAACAGCAUCCAAAACUGGCUCACUAGAGUACGAGAGAGGUUAGUGGAAUUUCCUGUGUAGCGGUGAAAUGCGUAGAGAUGGGAAGGAACACCAGUGGCGAAGGCGACUGACUGGCUCGAUACUGACACUGAGGUGCGAAAGCGUGGGGAGCAAACGGGAUUAGAUACCCCGGUAGUCCACGCCGUAAACG
rnacentral:rRNA from 1 species